rnacentral:lncRNA from 1 species
AGACCAUAUAAGACCUUAGGGCGCUAGGUUUUAAGAUACCCCUUCGGGCGUACUUACUCAAGUAACAAAGGCCCCGAAACAAAACUAGCCACGGUAAUUUUUAUUUUAUUUUUUUUCUUUCUUUUUCUUUUUCUUUUUUUUAGCGAAGCUUAUAUAUCCCAAAUUUUCCCCCCAAACUUAAGUUUUUAUCAAAAUUUAGUCAUCUCCGCCUAUUCAUGUCUUUCAUUCCUUCAAACUAGUAUUAUCCUUAAAAA